CUCAGUGGUAGAAUACCUUCCUGGCAUGCACAAGGCCCUGGGUUCAAUCCCCAACACUAAAAAAACAGAUUGCAGAGGAGUUCUCAGGACUUCCAUCCUUAUAGUACAGGCUGAAUAGUAGUGUAUUUCUCCUAAAUAA
rnacentral:snoRNA from 1 species